rnacentral:rRNA from 1 species
GGGGAAUUUUGGACAAUGGGGGCAACCCUGAUCCAGCCAUGCCGCGUGCGGGAAGAAGGCCUUCGGGUUGCAAACCGCUUUUAGUCGGGAAGAAAAGGCGCGGGUGAAUACCCCGCGUUUUUGACGGUACCGGCGGAAUAAGCACCGGCUAACUACGUGCCAGCAGCCGCGGUAAUACGUAGGGUGCAAGCGUUAAUCGGAAUUACUGGGCGUAAAGCGUGCGCAGGCGGUUGUGCAAGACCGAUGUGAAAUCCCCGGGCUUAACCUGGGAAUGGCAUUGGUGACUGCACGGCUAGAGUGUGUCAGAGGGGGGUAGAAUUCCACGUGUAGCAGUGAAAUGCGUAGAGAUGUGGAGGAAUACCGAUGGCGAAGGCAGCCCCCUGGGAUAACACUGACGCUCAUGCACGAAAGCGUGGGGAGCAAAC